CACCCACCAAGCUGAUCAGUAAACCCAAUUGACUUGAUUUUUACAUGAAGAAAAUGGUGGAAAUUACCAGAAUAAAACCCCCAUGAUCACGAGGAUCUAAUCACUGCGCGCUUGGAAGGGAUUUUCUCCUAAGGAGGGGAUGCUACAAAAGACAACUGUUUUGUGUACAUUUUGUAUUAUUGUGAAAUAGAUUUUAAGUAACCGGAAUUAACACCAAGUUUAGUGAAAGUUUAGGAUGUUGCCAAGUGGAGAAAGAACCUAUGAAAAUAGGUUUAUUAAUUAACACCAGUCUUGCCAUUAAAUCACAGUAAUGGAUGAUGGUAAACUUAUAUGAGGAACAAACGAGUUGUGAAAUUAACACCGGGAGUCCUUAUUUGUUAUAUAUAAAUAACGCUGACCUUUCUAUAAUAAAAGUAUCAUUUAA